CCUACGGGAGGCAGCAGUGAGGAAUAUUGGUCAAUGGGCUUACGCCUGAACCAGCCAAGCCGCGUGAAGGACGAAGGUGCCAAGCAUUGUAAACUUCUUUUGUCAAGGGACAAAAUCAGGCUCGAGAGCCUGACCGAGGGUACUUGAAGAAAAAGCAUCGGCUAACUCCGUGCCAGCAGCCGCGGUAAUACGGAGGAUGCGAGCGUUAUCCGGAUUUAUUGGGUUUAAAGGGUGCGUAGGCGGGCUGUUAAGUCAGCGGUAAAAGCCCGGGGCUCAACCCCGGCGAGCCGUUGAAACUGGCUGUCUUGAGAUGUCGAGAGGUAUGCGGAAUGCGCAGUGUAGAGGUGAAAUGCUUAGAUAUUGCGCAGAACUCCGAUUGCGAAGGCAGCAUACCGGCGGCGAUCUGACGCUGAGGCACGAAAGCGUGGGUAUCGAACAGGAUUAGAUACCCCAGUAGUC
rnacentral:rRNA from 1 species